GACGUAGGGGGCGAGCGUUGUCCGGAUUUAUUGGGCGUAAAGCGUGCGUAGGCGGCUGCGCAAGUCGGUUGUGAAACCCCGGGACUCAACCCCGGAACUGCAUCCGAUACUGCGUGGCUAGAGGUAGGUAGGGGAGAUCGGAAUUCCUGGUGUAGCGGUGAAAUGCGCAGAGUAUCAGGAGGAACACCGGUGGCGAAGGCGGAUCUCUGGCCAUAACUGACGCU
rnacentral:rRNA from 1 species